rnacentral:rRNA from 1 species
GACGGAGGGUGCUAGCGUUGUUCGGAAUCACUGGGCGUAAAGGGCGCGUAGGCGGCCUCAGGUGUCGGAUGUGAAAGCCCGGGGCUCAACCCCGGAGGUGCAUCCGAAACUCUGGGGCUGGAGGUCGGAAGAGGAGGGUGGAAUACCCAGUGUAGAGGUGAAAUUCGUAGAUAUUGGGUGGAACACCCGUGGCGAAGGCGGCUGGCUGGAUCGCAACUGACGCUGAGGAACGAAAGCUAGGGGAGCAAACAGG